UACGGAGGGUGCAAACGUUGCUCGGAAUUAUUGGGCGUAAAGCGCGCGUAGGUGGUCUAUUAAGUCGGAUGUGAAAUCCCUUGGCUUAACCAAGGAAGUGCAUCCGAAACUGAUGGACUUGAGUACGGAAGAGGGUUUUGGAAUUCUCGGUGUAGAGGUGAAAUUCGUAGAUAUCGAGAGGAACACCAGUGGCGAAAGCGAAAACCUGGGCCGAUACUGACACUAAUGCGCGAAAGCGUGGGGAGCAAACAGG
rnacentral:rRNA from 1 species